CAAAACCUUCGCUUGGAUUGAAAACUUGUUGAUUUAUGAAUUUUGGUUUCAGGCAGUCUUCCAUCAAAGGUUGAUGUUUCUUUUGUGGCACAUUGGCUGAUUCUCCCUCAUAAGUGUAUUUUAUUUUACAGAUUCAACAUCUUCACAAUCUUUAUCAACAACUUCAGCUUGUGUCACUGAUCCUUUUGAAUCUUCUUCGAAUCUCAGCUUUAACACGUCCCAUGCAUCCUUUGAGGUCUUAGUAUCAGACAAAUAAUCACUAAGAAUUUCUUCUGAGACAGCACUACACAACAACUAUUCUUCAAACGUCCAGGCCACCAAGACCUUGGAGCUCUGAUACCAUGUAGGAUUUUGAUUAAUCAAAGAUGAGAUUCCAACAAGUACCACAUCUAACCCACCCAAAGGAAUUGCAAAACAAUCUGUCGUGAAACUAUGAACUUGUACCACCAUUUGAAGCCCUUUACAAACCCCAUCCACAUGACAUUUUCCUCCAUCAGGCAUAGAUACAGAGCGGCCUGGUCUCCUAUGUAUUGGUAUACCUAGAUUUUCAGCCGCACUGCUUUUGAUAAAGUUAUGGGUGCUUUAUGUGCCUAAUAACACCCAACCGGUUCCCUUUGCCAAAACAGCAUUCACAUGGAAUGUGCUCCCUGUUUUCUCCCCCUUCAUUGCGUGGAGUGAGACUUCCAUAUUCUCAUCCUCACCCGAUGUGUCUUUCAGAUCCUCAUCAUCUUCAAUCGUCUUGAUGUGAUCUUGAUGUGAAAUAAAAUUGGUUGACACUUUUGUCCUAGGAUGAAAAUCUUGUCACAAUUAAAAAGAGUCCCUUCCCUCCU